rnacentral:rRNA from 1 species
UACGUAGGGCGCAAGCGUUGUCCGGAAUUAUUGGGCGUAAAGAGCUCGUAGGCGGUUUGUCGCGUCUGUCGUGAAAGCUUGGGGCUUAACCCCAAGUCUGCGGUGGAUACGGGCAGACUAGAGGCAGGUAGGGGAGAACGGAAUUCCCGGUGUAGCGGUGAAAUGCGCAGAUAUCAGGAGGAACACCGGUGGCGAAGGCGGAUCUCUGGGCCUUACCUGACGCUGAGGCGCGAAAGCUAGGGGAGCGAACAGG